AGGGUUUGAUUAUGGCUCAGGAUGAACGCUGGCGGCGUGCUUAACACAUGCAAGUCGAGCGAAGCGCUUUUGCGGAUUUCUUCGGAUUGAAGCAACUGUGACUGAGCGGCGGACGGGUGAGUAACGCGUGGGUAACCUGCCUCAUACAGGGGGAUAACAGUUGGAAACGGCUGCUAAUACCGCAUAAGCGCACAGUACCGCAUGGUACCGUGUGAAAAACUCCGGUGGUAUGAGAUGGACCCGCGUCUGAUUAGCUAGUUGGUGGGGUAACGGCCUACCAAGGCGACGAUCAGUAGCCGACCUGAGAGGGUGACCGGCCACAUUGGGACUGAGACACGGCCCAA
rnacentral:rRNA from 1 species